rnacentral:rRNA from 1 species
UACGUAGGGUGCAGGCGUUAAUCGGAAUUACUGGGCGUAAAGCGUGCGCAGGCGGUCUGCUAAGAGAGAUGUGAAAUCCCCGGGCUUAACCUGGGAACUGCGUUUCUAACUGGCAGGCUUGAGUGUGGCAGAGGGGGGUGGAAUUCCGCGUGUAGCAGUGAAAUGCGUAGAGAUGCGGAGGAACACCGAUGGCGAAGGCAGCCCCCUGGGCUAACACUGACGCUCAGGCACGAAAGCGUGGGGAGCAAACAGG